GGGAGAUUAACUACUCCUAAGGUCAACUUAAAAAUCCCAUUAUCUAGGCAAGUGAGAUAAGAGCGAUUUGUGCUGCCCUAGCGUGUUUUUAUGAAUUCUCCUGACUUGAAAUAUUUUUGAAAGGUUUAUUUCGCGAAUAGUUUUUGAGAGUUUUAUCAUUUGGGGAGACUUGAACACUGUGUGCUGUAGCAACAGUAAAACCACGUUUUCCUGGCCUGUACCUGAAAAAAAUUCUAAUUUAUUGUAUUGCUUUUUUUUUUACUAAGUGAGAAUAGUAUAUAAUAAAAUUUUAAGAAGAGUAAACUCUUCUGUGCUAAGUCAAUUCGAUUUGCCAAAAAUUGUCGAAUUCAGUAAAUGUUCUAUUUUGGAUUUAUAAAGAUCGGCAAUUCAUUCCUGAGGACGACAAUGGUAGUGAUAAAAUGACAAAUAAAGCUGUAAAAAGAUGUUCAGACACUGAAUUCCACAUUUUAAUUUACUUUUUAUAAAUUGUUGAGGUCUUUACAAAAUAAUAAUUUGCUAUGAUUCUCAGACUGAAAAGGGCUUGUAAUUCUUAUCCUUAAACCCAUAUGGCAACAGGAUGUGAUGGCAAAAAAGAAAACAUUUUCUAUUUCUAUAUGUUCAUUUAUCUAGAACCAAUUCAUUAGCAACUAUGGCACAGCCCUGCAUAGAAAGUGAUCUUUUGCACGAAAACGGCAAAAAGAGAUCGGAUUCCUACUUCUUUCUCUAUGAAACAUAUUCGUGCGAAGGGUGACAAAAACACAUGGAAAUGCGGAAAAAAUACUAAUUUUUCUCAAUAAUCAUUAUCGGAACUAUGGCCGAAAUUUCGGAAAGAUGAGACUUUAAAAAAUCCACAAUUCUUCAGAUUUUUACUUGCUAUUCGUUUUUUAACAGCACUUGAGAGAUCUUCAUGAAAUUGAGAGUAAAGGGGGAACCUUUUGUAAAUCAACAAUCAUUGAUAGAUUUUAAAUAUAACAGAGAAAACAAAAAUAAGUGUCAAUCUGUUUUCAUAACUGAAUA